rnacentral:lncRNA from 1 species
CGGUGCGCUCCCCGCCGAGGCUCCCCUCGACGCCUGGGCCGCCGCGCAACCGCACUGGAGCGGCUUCUCCCGCUGCCGUCUUCGCGCAGAUAAUGUCUGUGCCUAUCAGAUAAAGGCAAACCAGUGCUCAGAGGAACCCAACCAUCUCUGAAUUGAGACCAGAGAGCUGUCUCUAUGGAUAGUCCUUAGAGAAGGCAUUUCGGAACACAGUAAACAGCAGCCUGGUGACUCCGAUUACAGGGCCAGUUGCCUUUGUUACAAUAAAAGCAAGUCAUCUACACAGAUUUUUCCUACCAGGAAGAGCAUGUGCUGACCAACAGACAUGAAUUUCAGCCUGGUAGUUACAACAUUCACAGUAUACCCACAUCACUAAGCUGGGAGGCACAUUUUGAGACCCAGAAUCCUGACACCUCCAUGCCUUCAAAAGGAUACCGAGGUCUCCCUGUAUUGCCCAGGCUGGUCUCAAACCCCUGGCCUCCAGCGAUCCUUCCACCUCAGCCUCCCAAAGUGCUGGAAUUACAGGUUUGAGCCACUGUGCCCAGUUUCUUCUGUGCUCUUGAUGGAAAACUUAUUAUUACUGCUACUCUCCUCCUUGCCCAUCAGCCAUACUCUGGCUGCAUUAGCUUUCUUUGUAUUCCCAGCACUCCCCAGGCCUGUUGUUCCUUUUGGGUCUUUGUCUGGGGUCUUGCUCUAGCUGUAAUGUUCUUUACCCUUAGAUUCCCAUGAUUGGCUCCUUCUUGUCCCUAAGUCUCAGCUAAAGUGUUAUCCUGAAGAAAGGCCUUCACUGAUGAUCCCAUCCAAAGUAAUCACUGUAUUACACCAUUCAAUUUUAUUCUUUGCAUAGCAUUUACCCAUUGCUAAUAUUUUUCUUAUUUAUUUAUUUUUUUUAAAUAAUCUAUCUCCUGUCAACUAGAAUGUAAGCCCUGAUAGGGCAGGACUCUUUUAUUACACUGUAUUUUCAUUAUUAUAUCUACAGUGCCAAAAACUAUCCCUAACACAGGGGAGAUGCUCUAUACAUGUUUGGGGAGGAGGGAGGAAGGAAGGGAGGGAGGGAGAGAGGAAAGAAGGAAGGAAGGUGGGAAGAAAGGAAAGAAAGGAAGACAAUUGGGAAGGAUUUUUCUGAUCUGAGGCUGAUUGUUGGAGGCAUCCAACUGGUUAUUAUUUUGCUUAACAGCAAAAUAUUUUUAUCCACCUCCUUUGGAAACAAGAGAUCUUAAAGAUGUUUUGAGUUGAUUACAUAAGACUAUUUAACAGUGGUUAUGAAAACAGAUGAGUUAUCCUGAGAGGCUUUACUAGAUAUUUGUCAUCAUGAGCUCAGUCUCAUAAGUUAUUAUAAUAGAAAAUCAGGAAAAACUGCUUAUGUGUUUGAAUUCAAGUAGCUAAGUCUCAAAAUAUAAUAAAAAACAGUUGCACUACAGAUUUUCUUUCAAAAUAGCUCAAAAAUACCUUGUUGGCAGCAAAGGGAGUAAUAAUAAAAUAUCUUCCAAAAAACCUGAAAAUAGGAAAUAAAUUUGCCUUCUGAGAGUUAAACCAGUCAUACACACACACACACACACACACACACACACGUGCACACAUGCACACAUGUGCACGCAUGUGAACAUGCAUAGAAUCACACAGAGAUUAGGCUAAACCCAAUGAGGGAGUAAACUGAGAGAUAACCAGUGUGUACCUGAAGACUUUGGGAAUACCCCUAACUUCAGUGACCUGGGGGUAAUCCAGGAAGGCAAUCACCAGAAUGUGUUUGUUAAUUUAAUCCGUUGUAUGGAGAAAGUCUGGAUGAACAGAGGAUGUAGGCAGAGAGCUGUCAGCCUGUAGCCUGGAAAACCUCAACCUAAGAAGCAAGGAGUGGGUAGCACACUCCCAACUACUGUUCAAGAGAGAAGGGGCCUUGGCCUAAGGAUUUGAGCUCUCAGGUCUCUGUGGCAAAUGUAUCUUUGGAUAAGUCAUCUACCCACCUCUCCUUACUCAGAUUUCAUGCUCCACAUGGCUCCCUGUGUGCUGAAGCCUGAUUAUAGGAAGCAAAGACUCUGGUCUGCUGAUGUGAAGGCUCACCUGUUAGCUGGUUGCAUUUAUGGUUAAAAUGGAAUGAAUUUGAAUUCUGGCUAUACAGCAGUCUCUGUGAGCUUGGGUUAGUAUGAGUUUACCUGUGAGAUAAAGUUCCAGAGCAGAGUGACUUGUGACUUGUGUUGGGUCCAUACUAAGUGGCAGACAGUGGACCAGAAUUUAUACCACAAAUCCAGGUUGGCUCUGAGAAGACACUGCCACUAAGGACUGAUCUAAACUCAGUUCCCUUUCAAGUUCACCAAUUGUAUGACUCACAUGACAUUGAAUGAGGCCGGGAGUGUGAUACUAGCUGGACUCACCUUCAAGAACCCAAAAGACCCCAGUGGAUAAGAUGUGGAUACUCUAGUCCAUGGGUCAGCAAACUUUUUCUGUGAAGGGCCAGAAAACAAAUCUAUUAGGCUUGUGGACCACAUACAGCCUCUAUUACAUAUUUGUUAUCUUC